rnacentral:lncRNA from 1 species
AAAGACUACUCGCUUGUCAAAUAAAGCUUAGAAAGGAAUCCAAUUUGGGAAGAGAGUUGAGUGGUAGCUUAAGAAUGGCCCCCCAUAGGCUCAUCUGUUUGAAGGCUUGGUCAUCAGGGAGUGGCACUACUUAAGGAGGAUUAGGAGGUGUGGCCUUGUUGGAGGAAGUGUGUCACUGGGGUGGGCUUUGAGGUUUCAAAAGUGCAAGCCAGCCACAAUGACCUGCAGAUCCAGAUAGAGAACUCUAAACUCCUUUGCCAGCAUCAUGCUUGACUGUGUGCUUUCUUUGCUAAGAGUAACCUUGGUCAUGGUGUCUCUUCACAGCAGUAAACAGUGAUAAAGGCACCAUUGCAUACAAGGCCCAGGGUUUAAGUCUCAGCUCAGGAGAAAAGCAAAUCUAGGAAAGGAGCCUUGAAAGGCCCAAACUGAUCCACAGCUCAGUCAGCCAUCUCGGAAGCGUGGGUACCCACAGUGAAACGUCACUCAGAGUGUACAGAUUUGGACAUGGUGACACAUGCCUGUAACCCCAGUACUCAGGAGGCUGGGGCAGGAAGAUGACAAGUUUGGGACCAAUCUAAGCUAGACCCUGUCUCAGAAGACAAGCACGGAAGCAGGAAAACAGCUUUAAAAAUAUGCCCAAAGGUCGGGAAAGAUGACUCAGCGGUUAAGAGUGCUGACUGCUCUUCCAGAGGUCCUGAGUUCAAUUCCCAGCAACCACAUAGCAACUCACAACCAUCUGUAAUGGGAUUUGAUGCCCUCUUCUGGUGUGACUGAAAACAGUGUCAGUGUGCCCACAUACUUGAAAUAAAUAAAUCUUUUUUAAAAGAAAUUGUUCAAAGGGGUUAGAGAGCAGACUCAGCAGUUAAGAGCCUGCUGCUCUUACAAAGAACCUGAGUAGAUUCCCAGAGCCUAUGUCAACAAGUGGAUAACCUUCAGGAGUGCUACCUACUCCCAGGGGACCUGAUGGCUCUGACCUCUACAGACACCUGCUCUCAGGUGCGCAUACCCAAAGACAGAUAUACACACCCAUAAUUUAGAAUAAGGUAAAUUUUUUUAAAAAAUACAUUCAAAAACUUAAAAUGAAGAGAAAUUUAUACUCCCAAAGAAGAAAUGUAAGCUAGGAAAAAGAACCAAAUGAAAAUUCUCCAGUUGAGAAGUAAUUCUUCUGUCAAAACUUUCAUUGUCUGAAUUUAUUAAUGGAAGAAAUAAGGAAGAUAAGAAAUUAUUAGGUGGGGCUAGAGAGAUGGCUCAGCAAUUAAGAGCACUGACUACUCUUCCUAAGGUCCUGAGUUCAAUUCCCAGCAACCACAUGGUGACUCACAACCAUCUGUAAUGGGAUUUGAUGCCCUCUUCUGGUGUGUCUGGAAACAGCUACAGUGUACUCAUAUAAAUAAAAUAAAUCUUAAAAGAAAUAAAGAGAAAUUAUUAGGGUGCAGGUUAUCUAUUACCAUAUUAACAAGUUAAACAUAUAACAAGUUAAGUGUGGUUUAAGGCACACUUAUAUUUAUUAUUUUCUAGGUGGGUGGGUAGGGAGCCCAGCACAGCUCAGAUACAUCUUCUGGCUCAGGUCUUUUUUGAAGCUAUAGUCAGGGUGUCAGUCAGGUGGGAAGUCUCAGCCCUCAGGAGGUCAAAUUUGAGGCCUCCCUGGGCUACAUUGUAAGAUUCUGUCCAAAACAGGAGUAGGAAGAGAAGGAAGGGAAAAGGGAUGUCAUAAAAUCUUCUUUAAGGCUGAAGAGAUAACUCAGCGGUUAAGAGCACUGACUGUUCUUCCGAAGGUCCUGAGUUCAAAUCCCAGCAACCACAUGGUGGCUCACAACCAUCUGUAAUGAGAUCUGAUGCUCUCUUCUGGUGCAUCUUAGCUGCAGUGUACUUAGAUAUAAUAAUAAAUAAAUCU